rnacentral:lncRNA from 1 species
GCACCACCUUUUCAUUUCCUGAACUCUCCCCAAUGGUGGGUUCAACUUUUUCACUAUAAUUCUGCGCUUCUCGUCAAGAUAUAUUUCAUCACAGUGAGCAAACUGAGAUAAGACUUGUAAAUACGUUCAGAAAAUGACCCAAAUCCAUGCCUUUUUACACUGAACAUGGAAUUUCUACUAGAACAUGCUUCAUUUUGGAAUCUGGUCCUGUUCUCCUGAGCUCUAACCUCUGAUA